GUAAUUUUUCUGCAGCCAUCGUAAUGCUGCGAACAACUAGGCCGUAUGACGACAAGAAAAAUCACCGGGAAAAACUGUUGCAAGCUGUGAUUACUACUGCUGGCGAGGCAACGUAUGGGUCAACACAUACUUCCCAGAGGGAACCAAGUGCGAGUAUGAGCCAGAACGCAUGGGUACCUGCUUGACACAUGAAGGCACCUCUACCGCCUGCUACCUCGACGAAAAUGGAAGCGUCCAUAACUCGAGCCACGGAGGCAAGGAAUCUACUCAUGCGGGAGAGGAGACUACAACGCCUUCGGAAAGAAAAACGAGAAAGACAAAAAAGCAGAAGACUAAGAAGCCCAAACCUUCUUCCGACGCAACAAAGAAACCCAAAGAUAACAAGAAAAACAAAACAAAACGUACCACUCAGAUUUCGGAAUGGUAGGCACAGCCGCCUCAAGAAAUAAAUUUCAGCCGUCUUUUGCAUCAUGACUUCAGAAGACCGCAUUCUAGUCAUCCUUUACGUAAAAAAA